CUGUAUUAGGUAAACUAGCCAUUGUGCUUCACAGGAGACAAAGUGAGCUAAAGGCACUUUAACCUUGUGACUCACGCUGCAGAGAUUUGUUACCAUGGUGAUGGGUGUAAUUUGCACGGCGCCGUCGGAUUCCGAUGACAUCACGGCCUGCACUGCCCGCCAUGGUGAGUGGUCCCGGACAGGCUGGCGGGAUUCCACUUGUGGUGAAAGGUUUAAAAGGUGACACAUCUUCUAGACUCAGAAUGAGGAGGUGUUGCAUCAUCAUGUGAGGUUACAGUAGAAGAUGCCAGAAUGUGUUUGGCCACAGCUUGUGUAAUAGGCAUUCUAGUGCAUGAAACAGCAGUAGCACUAGCAGU